GAUUUUCCGCAAUGGGCGAAAGCCUGACGGAGCAAUACCGCGUGAGGGAGGAAGGCUCUUGGGUUGUAAACCUCUUUUCUCAGGGAAGAACAAAAUGACGGUACCUGAGGAAUAAGCAUCGGCUAACUCCGUGCCAGCAGCCGCGGUAAUACGGAGGAUGCAAGCGUUAUCCGGAAUGAUUGGGCGUAAAGCGUCCGCAGGUGGCUUUGCAAGUCUGCUGUCAAAGCUCAGGGCUUAACCCUGAAUCGGCGGUGGAAACUGAAAGGCUAGAGUGCGGUAGGGGCAGAGGGAAUUCCCAGUGUAGCGGUGAAAUGCGUAGAGAUUGGGAAGAACACCAGUGGCGAAAGCGCUCUGCUAGACCGCAACUGACACUCAUGGACGAAAGCUAGGGGAGCGAAUGGGAUUAGAUACCCCAGUAGUCCUAGCCGUAAACGAUGGAUACUAGGCGUUGAGAGUAUCGACCCUCUCAGUGUCGUAGCUAACGCGUUAAGUAUCCCGCCUGGGGAGUACGCACGCAAGUG
rnacentral:rRNA from 1 species